UUGAACGAUGCAUGGUAGCUAGAGAAAGGAGAAAAAUUGAGCAGCACAGAAAAAGAAAACACUUCACAGCCUGGAUCGGAUGGAGAAGAGGAAGUUGGGAGGGGAACCUCAGCUUUUACCAGGUGUCAGAAGACUCAGAUGCAGAAGCAAAGUCUACUUUACGUUUGGCAGAACACCAAGCUGCAUUAUGAUAAUGCUUCCAUAUUCCUUAAUAUUAUGAUGAUGGUGCCAAACCAGGAGUGGAAGUUUCUUGCAGUGUUCCAUAGCAGUGUGUCGUUCAGCCGCAAUGUCAAACCUCAUAUAAGUAUAGGAGCAGUCAGGCAG